UACAGAGGUGGCAAGCGUUGUUCGGAAUUACUGGGCGUAAAGGGCGCGUAGGCGGCCUACUAAGUCAGACGUGAAAUCCCCCGGCUUAACCUGGGAACUGCGUCUGAUACUGGAAGGCUUGAGGAUGGGAGAGGGAUGUAGAAUUCCAGGUGUAGCGGUGAAAUGCGCAGAUAUCAGGAGGAACACCGGUGGCGAAGGCGGGUCUCUGGGCCGUAACUGACGCUGAGGAGCGAAAGCGUGGGGAGCGAACAGG
rnacentral:rRNA from 1 species